rnacentral:rRNA from 2 species
UUUUGUGGAGGGUUCGAUUCUGGCUCAGGAUGAACGCUGGCGGCGUGCUUAACACAUGCAAGUCGAACGGGAUCCAUCAAGCUUGCUUGGUGGUGAGAGUGGCGAACGGGUGAGUAAUGCGUGACCGACCUGCCCCAUACACCGGAAUAGCUCCUGGAAACGGGUGGUAAUGCCGGAUGCUCCAGUUGAUCGCAUGGUCUUCUGGGAAAGCUUUCGCGGUAUGGGAUGGGGUCGCGUCCUAUCAGCUUGACGGCGGGGUAACGGCCCACCGUGGCUUCGACGGGUAGCCGGCCUGAGAGGGCGACCGGCCACAUUGGGACUGAGAUACGGCCCAGACUCCUACGGGAGGCAGCAGUGGGGAAUAUUGCACAAUGGGCGCAAGCCUGAUGCAGCGACGCCGCGUGAGGGAUGGAGGCCUUCGGGUUGUAAACCUCUUUUAUCGGGGAGCAAGCGAGAGUGAGUUUACCCGUUGAAUAAGCACCGGCUAACUACGUGCCAGCAGCCGCGGUAAUACGUAGGGUGCAAGCGUUAUCCGGAAUUAUUGGGCGUAAAGGGCUCGUAGGCGGUUCGUCGCGUCCGGUGUGAAAGUCCAUCGCUUAACGGUGGAUCCGCGCCGGGUACGGGCGGGCUUGAGUGCGGUAGGGGAGACUGGAAUUCCCGGUGUAACGGUGGAAUGUGUAGAUA